rnacentral:rRNA from 1 species
GUGCCAGCCGCCGCGGUAAUACGGAGGAUGCGAGCGUUAUCCGGAUUUAUUGGGUUUAAAGGGUGCGUAGGCGGAAUGGUAAGUCAGUGGUGAAAUGGUGCAGCUCAACUGUAGCAUUGCCAUUGAUACUGUCAUUCUUGAGUACAGAUGAGGUAGGCGGAAUGUGGUGUGUAGCGGUGAAAUGCUUAGAUAUACCACAGAACACCGAUUGCGAAGGCAGCUUACUAAGCUGACACUGACGCUGAAGCAC